AAAAAAAAGAAGCAAAACCUAUCUCUCAUUCAAACUCACGUAAACUAGCAAACCCUCAAACCUUGGUACUCUCUGCCCAGCCGCCAGCCACCAUACACCCGCCGGACCUCCACCGUCCUCGUCACAGCCGCCCCAGCCGCCGACCACCUACCGCCGCCGCGACCGCCAGCUGCACGGUAACCUUCUUCUUCUCCUUCGUUCUUCUUCCUUUCUCUUUCGUUCGUUUCUUGCAGCUUCGCUACCCUUCUCACGAUCUUUUUCGCUCUUGCUCUCCUCGCUCGUUUUGGUUUUUGCGCAGCAGCAACCGAGUCGCGCCACCCUCUCCUUGCUGUCGCCGAGCAGUGCUGCCGCCUCCGGCCGCGCCUCACCGCCUGCCACCGUCGUCCUCUCUCGUCGGCGGAGAAUUCUCCUUAGGCGACUUUUGAAUUAUUAAAGUGGUCUUGCAGUUUGUUUACACAAGUCUCUAAGGAUCAAUAAGCGUUGCCCAUCUACAGGUUUGAAGAUGAUGCAUCAUUGGGAUCGGGAUUAGAGAGCUUGUAGUUAUAUUUGUUUUAUUAAGUGAUUUGGGUUGUUAACUUAUAUUUGAAAGUUGUCGUACUAUUCGUAUUUCCUUAUUUCCGUUAAUUGGUUUUGGACUUAGUAUGUAAUCGAUUAUUUAUGAACCUAAAAGUUAGUUUUAUGUUUUCCGCUGCAAAAUUCUGAAUAAGCCGUACGUUUUCACACGGGCGAUAAUGCCUUAAUAAUUCUCUAUAGUUAUAUUUAUAAAAGGGUUGUUUUAGAAAAAGGGAAUUGUCGGGGUGUUACAAAGUGGUAUCUAGAAGCUAAGGUUUUACUUAACAAUUUUUUAGGCGCCUAACUAUCUAGUUAUUUAAAAUAAACUUCUUAAAAAUCGAGCUUCUACGUAUUAUAGUGUUCAAAAAUUGGUACUUUUUUUUCGGGGGCCGAUUUCCUUUUAUCUUGUUUGAAAGUAUAUAAUAUUUCUUAUUUAAGUUCAGAAUUAACUUAUUUAUUCGAAACUUUUCGUUUAUGUGAAUUAAGUACGUUUUUCGUUAUUUUCGAAAUUAAAUUAAAUAUAUUCGGAA